rnacentral:rRNA from 1 species
CCUACGGGGGGCAGCAGUGGGGAAUAUUGCACAAUGGGGGAAACCCUGAUGCAGCGACGCCGCGUGAGCGAUGAAGUAUUUCGGUAUGUAAAGCUCUAUCAGCAGGGAAGAAAAUGACGGUACCUGACUAAGAAGCCCCGGCUAACUACGUGCCAGCAGCCGCGGUAAUACGGAGGGGGCAAGCGUUAUCCGGAUUUACUGGGUGUAAAGGGAGCGUAGACGGCGAUGCAAGCCAGAUGUGAAAGCCCGGGGCUCAACCCCGGGACUGCAUUGGAAACUGUAUAGCUGGAGUGUCGGAGAGGGGGGCGGAAUUCGUGGUGGAGCGGUGAAAGGCGGAGAUAGGAGGAAGAACAGCGGGGGAGAGGGGAGCUGACGGGA